GAGAGAGGAAGAGCGGCUGCCGCUGGCUGAUAUCAGCCGGUGUGGAAAGUCCCUCCACCACUGGACACACAGACACUCGAAAGAGCGUGAGGCGAGAGCUUCGGCCCUGGCACAGAAACGAUACUGCAUUGUGCUUAUGCAAUGAUGCUGAAAAGCUGAGGUCGCACAUAGCAGAUGAAACGGCGAAACCCUGUGGGUGCAAGCCAAAAUAGAGCGACAAAUUUGGUGUCCAGCCAUGCUCGGGUAUGGCGCUAAGCUAAAUGCCGCUGAAACAGAAGAGGGCUUACUCUCCUCACUC
rnacentral:RNase_P_RNA from 1 species